rnacentral:rRNA from 1 species
UACAGGGGGGGCAAGCGUUGUUCGGAGUUACUGGGCGUAAAGAGUGCGUAGGCGGUUUGUCGCGUCUGCUGUGAAAACUCGGGGCUUAACCCCGGGCCUGCAGUGGGUACGGGCAGACUAGAGUGCGGUAGGGGAGACUGGAAUUCCUGGUGUAGCGGUGAAAUGCGCAGAUAUCAGGAGGAACACCGAUGGCGAAGGCAGGUCUCUGGGCAUUAACUGACGCUGAGGAGCGAAAGCAUGGGGAGCGAACAGG